GACGAACGCCGGCGGCGUGCCUAAUACAUGCAAGUAGAACGCUGAAGGAGGAGCUUGCUUUCUGGAUGAGUUGCGAACGGGUGAGUAACGCGUAGGUAACCUGCCUGGUAGCGGGGGAUAACUAUUGGAAACGAUAGCUAAUACCGCAUAAGAGUAGAUGUUGCAUGACAUUUGCUUAAAAGGUGCAAUUGCAUCACUACCAGAUGGACCUGCGUUGUAUUAGCUAGUUGGUGAGGUAACGGCUCACCAAGGCGACGAUACAUAGCCGACCUGAGAGGGUGAUCGGCCACACUGGGACUGAGACACGGCCCAGACUCCUACGGGAGGCAGCAGUAGGGAAUCUUCGGCAAUGGACGGAAGUCUGACCGAGCAACGCCGCGUGAGUGAAGAAGGUUUUCGGAUCGUAAAGCUCUGUUGUAAGAGAAGAACGAGUGUGAGAGUGGAAAGUUUCACACUGUGACGGAUCUACC
rnacentral:rRNA from 1 species